AAUAUUUUGGUUUUUUUUU
rnacentral:sRNA from 1 species